GACGAACGCUGGCGGCGUGCUUAACACAUGCAAGUCGAACGGAAAGGCCCUGCUUUUGUGGGGUGCUCGAGUGGCGAACGGGUGAGUAACACGUGAGUAACCUGCCCUUGACUUUGGGAUAACUUCAGGAAACUGGGGCUAAUACCGGAUAGGAGCUCCUGCUGCAUGGUGGGGGUUGGAAAGUUUCGGCGGUUGGGGAUGGACUCGCGGCUUAUCGGCUUGUUGGUGGGGUAGUGGCUUACCAAGGCUUUGACGGGUAGCCGGCCUGAGAGGGUGACCGGCCACAUUGGGACUGAGAUACGGCCCAGAAUCCAACGGGAGGCAGCAGUGGGGAAUAUUGCACAAUGGGAGGAAGCCUGAUGCAGCAGCGCCGCGUGCGGGAUGACGGCCUUCGGGUUGUAAACCGCUUUCGCCUGUGACGAAGCGUGAGUGACGGUAAUGGGUAAAGAAGCACCGGCUAACUACGUG
rnacentral:rRNA from 1 species